rnacentral:rRNA from 1 species
AAUCAACGCUGGCGGCGUGCCUCAGACAUGCAAGUCGAACGAUUAAGACUUCCUUCGGGAAGUGCAUAAAGUGGCGCACGGGUGAGUAACACGUAUGUAAUCUACCUUCGAGUGGGGAAUAACGUUCGGAAACGAAUGCUAAUACCGCAUAAUGCAGCGGCAUAACAAGAUGCCAGUUGUUAAAGGAGUAAUUCGCUUGAGGAGGAGCUUGCGGCAGAUUAGCUAGUUGGUAAGGUAACGGCUUACCAAGGCUACGAUCUGUAUCCGGUCUAAGAGGACGGUCAGACACACUGACACUGAAUAACGGGUCAGACUCCUACGGGAGGCAGCAGUCGGGAAUUUUGGGCAAUGGGCGAAAGCCUGACCCAGCAACGCCGCGUGAAGGAUGAAGUAUUUCGGUAUGUAAACUUCGAAAGAAUGGGAAGAAUAAAUGACGGUACCAUUUAUAAGCUCCGGCUAACUACGUGCCAGCAGCCGCCGUAAGAC